rnacentral:rRNA from 1 species
UACCCGCUGAACUUAAGCAUAUCAUAAAGCGGGAAGGA